GACGAACGCUGGCGGCGUGCUUAACACAUGCAAGUCGAACGAUGAAGCCCAGCUUGCUGGGUGGAUUAGUGGCGAACGGGUGAGUAACACGUGAGUAACCUGCCCUUGACUCUGGGAUAAGCGCUGGAAACGGCGUCUAAUACCGGAUACGACCUGCCCCGGCAUCGGGUGCGGGUGGAAAGUUUUUCGGUCAAGGAUGGACUCGCGGCCUAUCAGGUAGUUGGUGAGGUAAUGGCUCACCAAGCCGACGACGGGUAGCCGGCCUGAGAGGGUGACCGGCCACACUGGGACUGAGACACGGCCCAGACUCCUACGGGAGGCAGCAGUGGGGAAUAUUGCACAAUGGGCGAAAGCCUGAUGCAGCAACGCCGCGUGGGGGAUGACGGCCUUCGGGUUGUAAACCUCUUUUAGUAGGGAAGAAGGGCUUCGGCUUGACGGUACCUGCAGAAAAAGCACCGGCUAACUACGUGCCAGCAGCCGCGGUAAUACGUAGGGUGCAAGCGUUGUCCGGAAUUAUUGGGCGUAAAGAGCUCGUAGGCGGUUUGUCGCGUCUGCUGUGAAAACCCGAGGCUCAACCUCGGGCCUGCAGUGGGUACGGGCAGACUAGAGUGCGGUAGGGGAGAAUGGAAUUCCUGGUGUAGCGGUGGAAUGCGCAGAUAUCAGGAGGAACACCGAUGGCGAAGGCAGUUCUCUGGGCCGUUACUGACGCUGAGGAGCGAAAGCGUGGGGAGCGAACAGGAUUAGAUACCCUGGUAGUCCACGCCGUAAACGUUGGGAACUAGAUGUGGGGACCUUUCCACGGUCUCCGUGUCGCAGCUAACGCAUUAAGUUCCCCGCCUGGGGAGUACGGCCGCAAGGCUAAAACUCAAAGGAAUUGACGGGGGCCCGCACAAGCGGCGGAGCAUGCGGAUUAAUUCGAUGCAACGCGAAGAACCUUACCAAGGCUUGACAUAUACCGGAAACUUCCAGAAAUGGUUGCCCCGCAAGGUCGGUAUACAGGUGGUGCAUGGUUGUCGUCAGCUCGUGUCGUGAGAUGUUGGGUUAAGUCCCGCAACGAGCGCAACCCUCGUUCUAUGUUGCCAGCACGUCAUGGUGGGAACUCAUAGGAGACUGCCGGGGUCAACUCGGAGGAAGGUGGGGAUGACGUCAAAUCAUCAUGCCCCUUAUGUCUUGGGCUUCACGCAUGCUACAAUGGCCGGUACAAAGGGCUGCGAUACCGUAAGGUGGAGCGAAUCCCAAAAAGCCGGUCUCAGUUCGGAUUGAGGUCUGCAACUCGACCUCAUGAAGUCGGAGUCGCUAGUAAUCGCAGAUCAGCAACGCUGCGGUGAAUACGUUCCCGGGCCU
rnacentral:rRNA from 1 species